GGUUAAGUGACUAAGCGUAUACGGUGGAUGCCUUGGCAGUCAGAGGCGAUGAAGGACGUAGUAACUUGCGAAAAGCGUUGGCGAGCUAGUAACAAGCAUUUGAGCUAACGAUGUCCGAAUGGGGAAACCCGGCCACAUAAGUGGUCAUCAUAACGUGAAUACAUAGCGUUAUGAGGCGAACCUGGGGAACUGAAACAUCUAAGUACCCAGAGGAAAAGAAAUCAACCGAGAUUCCCCUAGUAGCGGCGAGCGAACGGGGAUUAGCCCUUAAGUCUAUGGGGUGUUAGUGGAAUGAGUUGGAAAGCUCAACGGUACAGGGUGAUAGUCCCGUACAUGAAAACUAACCAUAGAUGAAAACGAGUAAGGCGGGACACGUGACAUCCUGUUUGAAUAUGGGGGGACCAUCCUCCAAGGCUAAAUACUCCUGACUGACCGAUAGUGAACCAGUACCGUGAGGGAAAGGCGAAAAGAACCCCUGUGAGGGGAGUGAAAUAGAACCUGAAACCGUGUACGUACAAGCAGUGGGAGCGGUUCUUGAGACCGUGACUGCGUACCUUUUGUAUAAUGGGUCAGCGACUUACGUUUUGUAGCGAGGUUAAGCGAAUAGCGGAGCCGUAGGGAAACCGAGUGUUAACUGCGCGUUUAGUUGCAAGGCGUAGACCCGAAACCGAGUGAUCUAGCCAUGGGCAGGUUGAAGGUUGAGUAACAUCAACUGGAGGACCGAACCGACUAAUGUUGAAAAAUUAGCGGAUGACUUGUGGCUGGGGGUGAAAGGCCAAUCAAACUCGGAGAUAUCUGGUUCUCCUCGAAAGCUAUUUAGGUAGCGCCUCGAGCGAAUACCACUGGGGGUAGAGCACUGUUAAGGCUAGGGGGUCAUCCCGACUUACCAACCCUUUGCAAACUCCGAAUACCAGUGAGUACUACUCGGGAGACAGACGGCGGGUGCUAACGUCCGUCGUCAAAAGGGAAACAACCCAGACCAUCAGCUAAGGUCCCAAAGUUAUUGCUAAGUGGGAAACGAUGUGGGAAGGCUUAGACAGCUAGGAUGUUGGCUUAGAAGCAGCCAUCAUUUAAAGAAAGCGUAAUAGCUCACUAGUCGAGUCGGCCUGCGCGGAAGAUUUAACGGGGCUAAGCAAUACACCGAAGCUAUGGGUUUGCUCUUAGGAGCAAGCGGUAGAGGAGCGUUCUGUAAGCGGUUGAAGGUGAAGGGGUAACCCACACUGGACGUAUCAGAAGUGCGAAUGCUGACAUGAGUAACGAUAAAGGGAGUGAAAAACUCCCUCGCCGAAAGACCAAGGGUUCCUGUCCAACGUUAAUCGGGGCAGGGUGAGUCGACCCCUAAGGCGAGGCCGAAAGGCGUAGUCGAUGGGAAACGGGUCAAUAUUCCCGUACUUCUGCUAACUGCGAUGGAGAGACGGAGAAGGCUAGGCUAGCGCGGCGUUGGUAGUCCGCGUUUAAGGUUGUAGGCUGUAAACUUAGGCAAAUCCGGGUUUACAUUAGGCUGAGAGCUGAUGACGAGUCACUAAGGUGAUGAAGUAGUUGAUGCCAUGCUUCCAGGAAAAUCUUCUAAGCUUCAGGUUAGUAGGAAUCGUACCCCAAACCGACACAGGUGGUCGGGUAGAGAAUACCAAGGCGCUUGAGAGAACUCGGCUGAAGGAACUAGGCAAAAUGGUACCGUAACUUCGGGAGAAGGUACGCUGCUGUUGGUGAUGGGACUUGCUCCCUAAGCUGACGGCAGUCGCAGAUACCAGGUGGCUGCAACUGUUUAUCAAAAACACAGUACUGUGCAAAAUCGCAAGAUGACGUAUACGGUAUGACGCCUGCCCGGUGCUUGAAGGUUAAUUGAUUGGGUUAUCUUCGGAGAAGCUCAUGAUCGAAGCCCAAGUAAACGGCGGCCGUAACUAUAACGGUCCUAAGGUAGCGAAAUUCCUUGUCGGGUAAGUUCCGACCUGCACGAAUGGCGUAAUGAUGGCCACGCUGUCUCCAGCCGAGACUCAGUGAAGUUGAAAUUGCGGUGAAGAUGCCGUAUACCCGCGGCUAGACGGAAAGACCCCGUGAACCUUUACUAUAGCUUGGCACUGAACAUUGAACCUACAUGUGUAGGAUAGGUGGGAGACUUUGAAGCUUCGUCGCUAGAUGGAGUGGAGUCAAUCUUGAAAUACCACCCUUGUAGUUUUGAUGUUCUAACCG
rnacentral:rRNA from 1 species